ensembl:lncRNA
CAAUUCUACAAGUACGGAAAUCUGAAAGUUGCGCGUGGAUCUGAAGGCAUUUGCGCGUGGAUCAGCAAGGCGGAAAAUUAGUGCCAAAAGUCACGUGACAAACAAAUGUCCUGUGAUUCACACUACACAACAGCAGGUGGCGCUGUUGAGUCAGUUUAAGGCCGCCAGGACGAUCGCCAUUGUAACACGGUAAAUAAAUGGCAUGAGCUUGUGUGUGAAUCGUUGUGCGUGAGUAGAACACGUUUUGUGUGUGGGGUUUUGGCAUGAUUCUAACUCCAUAGUAUGUAUGUAUGUAUGUAUUAUAUCUGUGUCUGGCUGGCUAGCUGUCUGUCUGUCUGUCUGUCUGUCUGUCUGUCGUAAACUGUGUGCAAUGCUUUUAGUUUUUGUAAAGAUAAGAAGCAUAACGCAAGGCUCGCAAGCAACUCUAAAGAUCAGCAUUUCAGAUUAGACAUCCACCGGGCUAUCGCUGCCUUUCACCUUAGAGGUGAAUGGAUGGUAAAAAGAACUAUUGAUCGUUUGAGUGCUGCCCAAUGGUUUGUAGCCUACAACCAAUGUAUCCCUAAUAUUGAUUACAGGCCGGUUUCUACCUGAUGUGCCUACCUACGUAAGUGUCAUAUUUAAACCAUUUGGAACAACAUUCAAAGUUAGUCAGAGUGUGUGGGCAGAGGGGACAUAAGCAAAGAGAAGGCUCAGGCAGAGUCCAAGGCUUAGUUUAUCUUAUUUCCCAACCGCCUGUCAGCAUGUCCUCUAGGGAGAACAGCUGGGAAUUCACUGUGCAGAGGGCUGCAGUUUGGUGCCUGGUGUUCCACAUCCCAACGGUUUGGUACUUCUAUGAGCUCCAGGAGACCAUAUGCACGCUGAAAGAGGAGAACCUCCACCUCCAACACCGGCUGGAGAACAUCUCAUGGGUCAUCAGGGACCUGAAACACCUCCUCCUGGACCACUUUAAAGUUGUCCCGGGCUUCAAGGUGGGAUCUUACCCGUCGUUGGCUAACCAGCCUUCCAUACUGGCUUAUUGCAGGAUGCCGUACCUGGGAUACGAUCAAUCCCCACCUAUAUGGUGGUAUAGAUCGCAAAGUGGAGGGAUGGAGACAGAGUCUUCAGCCACAUCUGCCCUAUGCAGCCAUGUGUGUGCGUAAUGGAUACACAUCAGGGCAACUAUAAAACAAAGGGUAAUUUAUCAGAGCUAAUAUUAUUAAGUGUUGCAGCAGCAGUAGUGGCAUUUGAAAGGUAAACCCACUACUUCCGAAUCCAAUUUGACAACAUAGCAUGUAUGACUCCUUCCCAGCAGAUGUGGCGUCAAUCCACCUAUUGUCCUUAACUAGGGAGAUGGGAAAGAAAACCAAAAUCACAAUAUUAAAACUUGCAUUUUCAAUAUUGGGCGACUCACUUCUGUCUUAAUCGUUACUCAAAAUCACAAUUGUCUUCAUAAUCCUAUCCGAUUGCCCUUCACUAUCUAUUUAAAUUGGACAACCUAAUUAAACCUUUUAUUCUACCUAUUGCUUGCAUUUAGUGUUUUCCACAUUUUGAUUCACUACUAUACCAAACCCAAAC